rnacentral:rRNA from 1 species
ACGUUCGGAUUGCAGGCUGCAACCCGCCUGCAUGAAGUUGGAAUCGCUAGUAAUCGCGGAUCAGCAUGCCGCGGUGAAUACGUUCCCGGGCCUUGCACACACCGCCCGUCACACCAUGAGAGUCGGGGACACCCGAAGUCCGUAGUCUAACCGCAAGGGGACGCGGCCGAAGGUGGAUUCGAUAAUUGGGGUGAAGUCGUAACAAGGUACC